UACGGAGGGUGCGAGCGUUGUCCGGAAUCACUGGGCGUAAAGGGCGCGUAGGCGGCGCGGGGAGUCAACGGUGAAAGCUCGGCGCUCAACGCCGAGUCGGCCGUCGAUACUCCCGUGCUCGAGCACUGUAGAGGCAGGUGGAAUUCCGGGUGUAGCGGUGGAAUGCGUAGAGAUCCGGAAGAACACCGACGGCGAAGGCAGCGUCCUGGCCGAGCACUGACGCUCAGGCACGAAAGCGCGGGGAGCAAACAGG
rnacentral:rRNA from 1 species